AGGGACCUACAGGGCGCAGCAGUGGGGAAUAUUGCACAAUGGGGGGAACCCUGAUGCAGCGACGCCGCGUGAGUGAAGAAGUAUUUCGGUAUGUAAAGCUCUGUCAGCAGGGAAGAAGAAAGACGGUACCUGACCAAGAAGCCCCGGCUAACUACGUGCCAGCAGCCGCGGUAAUACGUAGGGGGCAAGCGUUAUCCGGAUUUACUGGGGGUAAAGGGAGCGUAGACGGCAGG
rnacentral:rRNA from 1 species